AGCGAACGCUGGCGGCAGGCCUAACACAUGCAAGUCGAACGAACCUUUCGGGGUUAGUGGCGGACGGGUGAGUAACACGUGGGAACGUGCCUUUAGGUUCGGAAUAACUCAGGGAAACUUGUGCUAAUACCGAAUGUGCCCUUCGGGGGAAAGAGUUAUCGCCUUUAGAGCGGCCCGCGUCUGAUUAGCUAGUUGGUUGAGGUAAUGGCUCACCAAGGCGACGAUCAGUAGCUGGUCUGAGAGGAUGAUCAGCCACAUUGGGACUGAGACACGGCCCAAACUCCUACGGGAGGCAGCAGUGGGGAAUCUUGCGAAAUGGGCGAAAGCCUGACGCAGCCAUGCCGCGUGAAUGAUGAAGGUCUUAGGAUUGUAAAAUUCUUUCACCGGGGACGAUAAUGACGGUACCCGGAGAAGAAGCCCCGGCUAACUUCGUG
rnacentral:rRNA from 1 species